rnacentral:misc_RNA from 1 species
CUUGGUCAUUAGGAAGUAAAAGUCGUAACAAGGUUUCCGUAGGUGAACCUGCGGAAGGAUCAUUAUCACAAAUGAUUUUAGCUUUCCAAAAUUAAUCCUUUGGAAGCUAACCUCUUCUAAACCAAUUUAAACAAAUGUGAAAUCGUUUUCUUUUUUUUAUUGUGAUGAAGUGUAUGGUUUCGAUCAUACAUUUCAGAUCAAUAAAAAAAAUAAUCUUUUAACCAAUUGAACCCUUUUCUAAUUUAUGUUAUUUUAUUUCUAUUUAGUUCUGAAAUACUAUUAUGCUGCUCUUCAUUGAGCAAUAUAAUAAGAUUACAUUACGAAACAAUUUAAAUAAAACAACUCUUAGCAACGGAUAUCUUGGUUCUC